ACGAACGCUGGCGGCGUGCUUAACACAUGCAAGUCGAACGAGAUCCAUUGCGAGCUUGCUCAAGAGAAGAUCUAGUGGCGAACGGGUGCGUAACACGUGAGAAACCUGUCCCGAACUUGGGAAUAACAGUCGGAAACGACUGCUAAUACCGAAUACCUUCGUAGCGUCGCAUGGCGCAUCGAAGAAAGCUUUUGCGGUUUGGGAGGGUCUCGCGGCCUAUCAGCUAGUUGGUGAGGUAACGGCUCACCAAGGCAUCGACGGGUAGCUGGUCUGAGAGGAUGAUCAGCCACACUGGGACUGAGACACGGCCCAGACUCCUACGGGAGGCAGCAGUGGGGAAUAUUGCACAAUGGGCGCAAGCCUGAUGCAGCAACGCCGCGUGCGGGAAGAAGGCCUUAGGGUUGUAAACCGCUUUCAGCAGGGAAGAAACUGACGGUACCUGCAGAAGAAGGAGCGGCCAACUACGU
rnacentral:rRNA from 1 species